rfam:Myotis brandtii contig155853, whole genome shotgun sequence.
GGUGGUUCUCAGGUGAUGCACCCGGGAAUCAGGUUCCCUCCUCUCUGGUUCCUGGUGCAUCACCUGAGAACCGCA